rnacentral:lncRNA from 1 species
CUGGCAAUUGAUCUCAGUUAAAGUUGACUUGAGCAUCUCUAAGCUAUGGCAGUGUGUGUCUAAUCAUACUCUGCGGUCACUAAAAAUCUACCAGUAUUUGGUAGGACACUUCAAAAGAGCAUGGAAUACUUCAUUCCUUGGCCAGUAGCCAUCAUGUCUCAGUACUUAAACCUAUGUGCAGCUCUGUUGUUUUUGUUCACAUGGGGCUAGCAAGUGUUUGUUCUGGUUCGAGUCCAUAAAGUUUGCACAUUUGAGUUUCAGUUUGAGGUUUUGAGUUCAGUGAAACAUCAAGUCUUGCCUGGCUUUUGGGUUGAAACCUCAAGCCUAAUGAUAAUGUUUUCUCCAGCUGCAGAUUUUGAAGUGAGGGGUCAUUGAAAAACAAACCCCAAGCCCUAAUACUUGCUGAGAACCAUCAAAUGGACCACUCUCUGCAGAAUUUAGCAAUUGUAUUUUUCUGUCAAAAUUAGCAACACUAUUUUACUGAUAUGCACAUUACUGGUGACAUUCUGCUUCAACUGAAGUUAAAGUAUUCCUGUUUUUUCCGUUCCUCCUUCCUGGACAGUGCUGUUUAGUCCUACACAGCGGUGGCAGUUCUUGGGUACAAUACAUGAGAAGUUAAUGGUUUGUGAAACCGUUGGCCAGGUUCUUGUUUAAAUCCUGUUACUUUUGCCCAGUUUAUGCAGUGCCAGUUCUGUGCUUAACCAGUGUGAAGCUCUGCUUGCUUUGAUUUAAGGAUGUGAGCCCCAAAAGGGACUUUUCACAAAGGGUAAAAUGGGUGCUCAAAAGAUGAUUAGAUAACUGGUUGCUAACACUUGAGGUCUUGAUCCCUUUAGCAGUGCAACUCUCCCUCAGUUGGGAUCUAGUGUUUCAUUUUCAGUGAAAUUCAAUGAAUCUUAGACUCAUAGGGGUCUAUGUUAUAGUGGUACUGUACCAAGCAGAUAAUUAGCCAUACAAAGAAGCAUACCAAAUCUGGUUGAAAAGCACCUGAAAAUCAUUCGCCAGUGUUCAGUAGCCUUUAAGGAAUCACAGAAUGGCUUUGGUUGGAAGGGACCUUACAGAUCAUCUAGUUCCAUUCACUCUGCCAUGGGUGCAGUUGCCACCCACUAGAUCAGGGGCUGCCCAGGGUCCCAUCCAACCUGACCAUGAACACUUCCAGGGAUGGGGCACCUACAGCUUCUCUGAGCAGCCUGUGCCAGAACCUCACCACCGUCUGAGUAAAGAAUUUCUUUCCAGUUUCUAAUGUAAAUCUCCCCUCUUUUAAUUUAAAACCAUUCCCCCUUGUCCUGUCACUAUCUGUCCAGGUGAAAAGUUGGCUCCCUGCUGUUUAUAUACUCCCCUCAAGUACUGGAAAACUGCAAUUAGGUCUCCCCAGAGCCUUCUCUUAAGUUGAACAAGCCCAGUUGCCUCAGUCUGUCUUCAUACGAGAUGCGCUCCAGCCUUCUGAUCAUCUUUCUGUGCAUCUUUUUUGUGCUGGGGUCCUUUUGUCCUGGGUGCAGUGCUCCUGGCAGGUCCUUAGGAGAACAGAGCAGAGGUGGACAAUCACCUCCCUCUCCCUGCUGGCCACCCCUCUUUUGAUGCAGCCUAGUAUACAAUUGGCCUUUUGGCCUGCAAGAGCACACUGCUGGAUCAUGUCCAGCUUUUUGUUUGACAGAACCUCCAACUCCUUCUCUGUGGGGCUACUCUCAGCGUGUUCUUUUCCUGUUCUGUACACAUAUCUGGAAUUGUCCCAAACCAAGUGCAGCACUUUUCACUUCACUUAGCUGAAUCUUACUUGGUUCAUGUGAGCCCACUUCUCAAGCUUGUC